AUACGUAGGGGGCGAGCGUUGUCCGGAAUGAUUGGGCGUAAAGGGCGCGUAGGCGGCCCGGUAAGUCUGGAGUGAAAGUCCUGUUCUUAAGCGGGGUAUUGCUUUGGAUACUGUUGGGCUUGAGUGCAGGAGAGGUACGGGGAAUUCCCAGUGUAGCGGUGAAAUGCGUAGAGAUUGGGAGGAACACCAGUGGCGAAGGCGACUUACUGGACUGUAACUGACGCUGAGGCGCGAAAGUGUGGGGAGCAAACAGGAUUAGAUACCCUGGUAGUCCACACUGUAAACGAUGAAUGCUAGGUGUAGGGGGUAUCGACCCCUUCUGUGCCGCAGUCAACACAAUAAGCAUUCCGCCUGGGGAGUACGGCCGCAAGGUUGAAACUCAAAGGAAUUGACGGGG
rnacentral:rRNA from 1 species